rnacentral:rRNA from 1 species
AUUGAACGCUGGCGGCAGGCCUAACACAUGCAAGUCGAGCGGAUGAAGGGAGCUUGCUCCUGGAUUCAGCGGCGGACGGGUGAGUAAUGCCUAUGAAUCUGCCUGGUAGUGGGGGAUAACGUCCGGAAACGGGCGCUAAUACCGCAUACGUCCUGCGGGAGAAAGUGGGGGAUCUUCGGACCUCACGCUCUCAGAUGAGCCUAGGUCGGAUUAGCUAGUUGGUGGGGUAAAGGCCUACCAAGGCGACGAUCCGUAACUGGUCUGAGAGGAUGAUCAGUCACACUGGAACUGAGACACGGUCCAGACUCCUACGGGAGGCAGCAGUGGGGAAUAUUGGACAAUGGGCGAAAGCCUGAUCCAGCCAUGCCGCGUGUGUGAAGAAGGUCUUCGGAUUGUAAAGCACUUUAAGUUGGGAGGAAGGGCAGUAAGUUAAUACCUUGCUGUUUUGACGUUACCAACAGAAGAAGCACCGGCUAACUUCGUG